GAGAUCCUCCUGUCUCAUCCUCCAGAGUAACUGGAACUACAGUACCCAGGGGAGUGCUUUCUACGUCGUUCAUGCUGAAUACAUUUUAAUGGAGAGAAAGCAAUUUAUUUUCAGAGACAAGGUUUCACCAUGUUGGACAGGCUGGCCUCAAAC